CCCCAUUGAAAGUAAUCUCUUCUUGGAGACAAACAUUUCAAGUCAACAAGGAAAGCCUUCCUUUUAUCUUGGACCUUAUACCUAGUCAAAACCUCAUUACCUGCCAGAAGAGAGAAGUUUAGGACAUACAUCAAAUUCUUUGCUCUGAUUUGUC
rnacentral:lncRNA from 1 species